GCGGAAGUGGCGGAACUGGCAGACGCGCUAGACUAAGGAUCCAGUGAGGUAACACUCGUGGAGGUUCGAGUCCUCUCUUCCGCACCA
rnacentral:tRNA from 1 species